rnacentral:RNase_P_RNA from 1 species
AGCUGAUAACGUCAGCCGCGGGUAACCGCCGGGAAAGUGCAACAGAAAUAAACCGCCGCGCAAGCGGUAAGGAUGGAAAGGCGAGGUAAGAGCUCACCCACUCCUAUGGUAACAUAGGUUUGCUGUAAACCCUACCCAAAGCAACACCGUUCGGGGCAUGUCUGCCCGACAGCCGCAAGGACCCGAUGGGUGGCACGGACGCGAAAGCGUUCGGAGCUUUCUGGUGACAGAGAGCAAAGAUAGAUGGCCGUUCUCGACAGAACCCGGCUUAUAGGCAAGACUGCAAA